UCACUGCUGAAGACUCCCACAAUAGGACGAAACGGCCGUCCAGUGC
rfam:Schistosoma curassoni strain Dakar, Senegal genome assembly, scaffold: SCTD_scaffold0000353